UUCAAGAAUAUUUUGAUAAAAAAACAACUCUGACAACGGCUUCCAUCACCUACAAACAUCAAUAGACGGUUGUCCCUAGGUGCAGUUUAUGUAUACAGUAUAACAAUGCUUCGCAAAGGUGAAAAAAAUAUAAGAGAAACCUACAUUGAUAAAAUUGGUUGGACGCAAGACUAUAAGCUUGGCGAUCUAUGAUAGAGUCCAUCGCAUUAAGAAAAUAUUGCAUGGAAUUUAGAAUCAAAUAAUUCAAUAUUAAAAAAGUCAAAUACUCUUUCUGACUCAGUUCCCUAUGCAAAACCCAUGGCAGCUUCCCGGCGGUGCUUCCGGCCUGAACCCUCCGUCUCUCACUCCUGGUGAAGACCCUCCUAAGCCCCCUGACCCCCCAGACCCAGCCUCUCCUUUUUCCCCCAGCCAAUACCCGCCACUCUUUUCCCCUCCUGUUAAAUCAACUGUUCCUUCAAAGCACUCUGUCUCUCUUUUGAAACCUGUUGCGAAGGACACUACCUUAUCCUCUGUAACUAUUGAAUCUGGGAAGAAUCAGAAAAGUUCUAACUGGUCCACCUCUUCAGCAGGCUUACCCCCUCUUGAAGUCACUGGAUCUGAAAAUUCCUUUAAAAAAACCUUCACCAUUUUAAAACCAUCUCAUAACUCUCCUCUCCAAACAAACAGAGCUUCAAACUCUUCCUCCUACACUCCCUCAUCCACCAAACUGCUUACUUCCCAACCAGAUUCAACCCCCCAAUUUGUCCCCACUAUUGUCUCUCCUCCAUCUCAACAAAAUCCAUCAGUGACUAACACUAUUCAUGAAACCCUAACUCAAAACCAGCAAGAACCUCCCCCCCAACCCCCUGUAAACCCUAUUCCAGCUAACCCCACUCCAAACCCUACUCCCAGACAUAUCCCUCCCGUCAACCCUACCCCCCGACCUGCUCCAACUCUUGUUGAAAAGAUACGUUGGUCCGAAGAUAAAACCUUACAGCGACUUGCCCCAAUCACCAUUGCAGCAUCAGGAUGGCCACGAGUGCUAAUCCCAGACUGUUUUCAAAACAGGUGAGGAGAUGCAUAAAGAUUUCAUAGUAUGUUAUUUCAAUGGAAGGCCGCCCCCAUUCAACCAGAUUCAAAGUGUGUUUAAUCAUAUGUGGGGCAAAGGAAAGAAACUUGAGAUUCACAAUAACCCUCUAACAAGAUCAGUUAUUGUGAGAAUCCAUAGUGACUACCUGCGGGGAAAGAUCUUAGAGAAACAUAUAUGGUAUGUUGGUGACUCUAUAUUUCACACAGCCUUGUGGACAUCUGAGCACUCCUCCUCAACUCCUCCUCUCCAAUCAGUGCAACUGUGGGCUCACUUAACAGGGGUUCCUUUAGAUCUUCGUCACCAGGCAGGCUUCAGCUUAGUUGCAGGUUUGGUGGGUGAACCUAAGGAGACUGAUGAGUUCACAAAGAAUCUUGUUAGCUUGACGCUAUCUCAUGUAAAAGUGGAGCUUGAUUUGACGAUUCCUGCUCCUUCAGUUGUGGAAUUUGAACGGGAAAGUGGAGAGGUGGUCGAAGUCUCUGUCACCUACCCAUGGUUACCUCCAACAUGCUCACAUUGCAAAGAGCUGGGACAUGUAAUCCGCAACUGUCUCAAGUGGACUCCUCCAAAAGAUGCCCAACCUGCAGAGAAACAACCAACAAAACAAUCAGACAAGGCCAAUGGAAAGAAGCCAGUAAAUGACAACUCAGUUAAUUCAGCUGAUGCUAAAGAAAAAGGAUCUACGUCUGAUCAAGUCAUGGAGGAUGCAAUAUCACUUCCACCCUGUUGAAGCUAAUCCACUAGUGUUUUCAUCUCAAGCCCCAUCUUCAAAGUUACCAAAUCCUUCCCCUAUUCCCAAGUCUGACUCAUUUUCCCUCUCUAAAUCCUCACGUCUUCCACCCAAAACACCUUCCACCCCAACCACACUAGCUUUCCCCUCUCAUUCCCUUGAUCCCUUUCACCUUAGCCCCCCUGGUCCUUUUGACCGUAGGGUUCUAAAAAGGUCCCGUUCUGAUCCUUCAAUCUCUUCUCCUCCUCUUUUUAAACCUAACACUACCACUCUGUCUAAAGGAGUGUCAGAUACCUCUUUUAUUAUAAACCCAGAAAUUUCUAGCUUCACUAAAAACUCUUUUAGUCUUCUUUUGUCUCUAGGUGACCUCCAUUCUUCCGGAGGCCCUUCCCUUAAUUAAUUAUGAGUGUAAAACUCUCUUUUUGGAAUGUUUGUGGUUUAAAUGACCCGAUCAAGCAUCGCCCUUUUUGUCAAUGGUUAAAUAAUAAUAAUCCCAUUGUUGGUGCACUUUUGGAAACCCAUAUAAAAUUCGGAAAUCUUAGCCAGCUAAUGGCAAAACUUUGUUUUGGUUGGAACUAUGCAUCAAAUCAUCAAUCUGAUGAAGAUGGUCGUAUUAUUCUAAUUUGGAAAGCCCCGGCAGUUGUUAAUGUCCUCCACCAGUCAAGACAAUCCCUAACUUGUGAAGUCAUUUUGCCGCUGUGCCCACCCUUUUGCUAUACGAUGAUCUAUGCUUCAAACAUUUCUGCAGAAAGAUCAGACUUAUGGGUGGAGCUUCUUGAUCUCCAUCGCUCUCUUGGCCUCGAAAAAAAACCUUGGAUACUAGGCGGUGAUUUCAAUCAGAUUGUUGAUCAUAGAGAACACUCCUUGGCUCAUAUUGACACAACAACCUCUCCUAUGUCUGAUUUUCAUGACUGUUUGGAUCAGCUUGGAGUGUUUGAUCUCAGAUAUCAAAGUCCAACCUUCUCAUGGUCGAACCACCAACCUACUAUGCCUAUAGCGAAGAAACUUGAUAGACUUUUAAUAAACGAUAUGGCUCUCCAGUCCUUCCCUGAUGCUGCUGCAAACUUCCUUCCUCCCCUAACCUCUGACCACUGUCCUUGCAUCCUAAGCCUAGCUAUCACCCUUCCUUCAGCCGGUUCCAAACCUUUUAAACUCCUUAAUUACCUCUCCAAACACCCCAACUUCCUCCAGGUUGUGUUUGAGACUUGGGUUCAAGCCGGAAGCGCAAGCUACACGUUGACUAGCCUAUGCUGGAAGCUUAAAUGCUUGAAAAAUGCUCUCAGAACUCUAAACAGAGACAACUUCUCAAAAAUUCAAGAGAGAGUAAAUGACACUAACAAUCUUCUUCAAUGUUUGCAGGUACAAGCUCUCCAAAAACCCUUCACCACACCUCUUUGAGCAGGAACAUGAACUUCAUAAAAAGUGGCUAUUCUUAAGGGAAAUUGAGGAAUGUUUUUUCAGACAAAAAUCUAGGAUAAACUGGUUGCUUGAAGGGGAUCAAAACACUACCUUCUUCCACAGGAUCUGCCAAGCUAGAGCUAGCUACAAUGCGAUUAGAAGCUUCCUCACAGUUUCAGGUUCCUGGAUGGUUGACCCGGUUGCAAUGAGUUGGCACGCAAUACAUCAUUUUGAGUCUGUCUUGGGACCGCGGAACAUACGCUACAACCUCCUCUACACUCCACCGACUUGGUUUCAGUCUUUAUCAGUUUAUAGGGUUUCCACCAUAAUUGGCGAGACAAUGAUCAAACCACCGUCCCCAGAGGAAAUCAAGAAACACUUUUUCAAGAUGAACCCAAAUAAGGCUCCAGGACCUGACGGUCUUACUUCGGGGUUCUUCCGCGCUUCAUGGGAAAUUAUUGGACAAGAAGUAGUAGACUCGAUCACUCACUUCUUCUCUUCUGGUUUUCUGCCUUCAUCAGCCAAUGCAACUAUCAUCUCAUUGGUUCCAAAGUCGACAGGAGCUUCUCUUAUUACGGAUUACAGGCCAAUAUCAUGUCUUAAUACUAUCUACAAGGUGAUCUCUCGCAUCCUUGUCUCCAGACUUAAGCCUAUGCUGCCAGACUUCAUUGUUCCUAACCAAACCGCAUUUGUCAAGGAUCGACUUCUCGUCGAAAAUACUGUCCUCGCUAGUGAGUUAGUAAACGGUUAUCACAAGAGAGGGGGAGUUAAAAGGAUAACUAUCAAGGUUGGCAUUGCUAAGGCGUUUGACACAUUAUCUUGGGACUUCUUAUUCCACUGCUUAGAAGGGCUACAAGUUCCACCUUAUUUCCUUCAACGCCUACGAGCAUGUGUGUGUACUACUUCCUUUAUGGUUGGGUACAAUGGUACUGUUAAUGGCUACUUGAAGGGAACUCGUGGCUUGCGCCAAGGCGACCCCUUGUCCCCAUACUUGUACGUCAUCGCAAUGAACUAUCUCUCACUCCUUCUUAAAGAGGCGGCUACAGCAGGGACUCUUGGAUACCAUGACCGUUGCAACACUUCAAAACUUACUCAUCUCUGCUUUGCGGACGACCUCCUGAUCUUUAUAGAUGGUUCAGUUUCCUCUGUUCAACGGGUCCUUCAAGUGCUUCAUGAAUUCGAGAAGCGGUCAGGCCUUAAGGUGAGUUUACAGAAAACUAGCUUCUUCUCGUCUGGUCUUACAGAUGCAGAAAUAGACACAAUCCAGGCAUCGACGGGAAUGAUACACGACGUUCUACCGGUUCGCUAUCUAGGGGUACCUCUGUGCACAACAAAGCUCAAUCUCCUACAUUGCGAGCGGCUGAUCCAACAAGUGAAGUCAAGAUUCAACUCAUGGACAGUCAAAACACUCUCUUUUGCGGGCAGAUUGCUGUUGAUAAAAACGGUAAUUGCGGGAAUUACAAAUUUUUGGUGUUCCUCGUUUGUGUUGCCGAAGGCCUGCAUCAACAAAAUCAACUCCCUCUGUAGCAUGUUCCUCUGGAAAGGCAAUAUAGAAGGUCGCAACACUGCAAGAGUUUCUUGGGAAAUUGUCACUCGUAGGAAAGAGCAUGGAGGCCUAGGAAUCACAGACUUGGUAACUUGGAACAAAGCAACCUGUCUUAAGCUAAUUUGGAUGUUAUUUUUCAAGGCGGGUUCGGUUUGGGUAGCAUGGUUCAGAGAUGAAGUUCUCAAUGGGGACAUUAGUAACUACUGGACAAUUCAACCUAGCAGGAAGCACUCUUGGCUCGCUAACAAACUACUCAAGCUCAAAAGUGAAGUUUACCCUUGGAUAAAGCUAAGAGUGAGAGAUGGUCGCACCUGUAAGUUUUGGGUUGAGAACUGGUCUCCCUUCGGUAAUCUGCAAGUGUUCCUUAACCCUCACGGCAACUCACGUCUAGGCAUAGCCAAAACAGCAACUCUGGCCAGUCUGUGCAGGAACGGUGUGUGGCGUCUACCAAAUGCUCGCUCAGACAAUCAACUUCAAUUUCUCACGUUCUUAACUACCUUCCAACUGCAAGAUGGAGAUGAUUACUAUGAAUGGGAACUACAGGGCAGAAUAAGGAAUCGUUAUUCAACAGGAGAAGUGUACCGAUUGCUGCGAGGAGAUCAACCAGCGGUAACAUGGAAAGAUAUUGUUUGGUCCUCUGGAUCGAUCCCACGACACUCUUUUUUGACUUGGCUAUUUAUCCUUGACAGAUGCCCUACUAGGGACCGUAUACUUAGUUGGGGAUUGCAAACAGACCCAACCUGUCUCCUAUGUUCUACUGAGCCUGAAUCCAGGAACCAUCUCCUCUUCAACUGCUGUUUCUCCCUCUCAAUUUGGACGGCCCUAUCCCGUCGAUGCUCUCUUCAAGCGCUACCUGCCUGGGACCAAACCAUCCUACAACUGACUUCCCUUCGAACGGGUAAGCUCCAUCGUCGUCUUGUGAUCAUAGCCUGGCAAGCAACGAUCUAUGCGAUCUGGACAGAACGCAACUCUCGUCUUCACCGCUCAGUCUUCCGCUCAACUGACUCCAUUACAAAAAACAUCAUCACUCAAGUCACAAACAUGAUCUCCUCCUUCAGACCAUCUAAUCCAGCAAUAAGCUCCAAGUUGAUGCAAAUUUGGUUUUCAACUGAAUGAUCGGGACUCUUCACGAUCGCUCUGCUCUUCGCAAACUCCGUAACUUUCACUCUCCGUAACCUCCUACCUAA
rnacentral:lncRNA from 1 species